rnacentral:rRNA from 1 species
GACGAACGCUGGCGGCGUGCUUAACACAUGCAAGUCGAACGGAAAGGCCUGCUUUCCCUUGUGGAUUGCGGGUACUCGAGUGGCGAACGGGUGAGUAACACGUGAGUGAUCUGCCCCCAACUUGGGUAUAAGCCUGGGAAACUGGGUCUAAUUCCCGAUAGGACUGCAGGGUGGUGCCUGUGGUGGAAAACGAUUUUCUAGUGGUUGGGGAUGAGCUCGCGGCCUAUCAGCUUGUUGGUGGGGUAAUGGCCUACCAAGGCGGCGACGGGUAGCCGGCCUGGGAGGGUGGACGGGCACAUUGGGACGGAGAUACGGCCCAGACGCCUACGGGAGGCAGCAGUGGGGAAUAUGGCACAAUGGGCGGAAGCCUGAUGCAGCGACGCCGCGUGGGGGAUGACGGCCUUCGGGUUGUAAACUCCUUUCGACCGCGAGGAAGCCACCUGGUUGGAAGGGUGGUGACGGUAGUGGUAGAAGAAGCACCGGCUAACUACGUG